CGGACCCCGACCUCAGGCCCGCACGGUGCUAACUGCUUUGACGCCGGCCUGCGACCGGUGACUCUGGGCAGGCCUCAGUUCGCCUCGUCUGCAAAAUGGGACGACAAAGGGUAGCUCCGUCCCAGCGCUCCCCUGGCAGGCAGUGUAGGUCCACCUCCUAGCAAAUUAUUUGGAAUGAACAUGAGAAAUCUCCUGAUUGGCUCCCUCCGAAACACCACGACCACCUCCCAGCUGGUCGCCUAAAUCACUGGCCUCGGGCCCCUCUCCUGACUGCAAACUGAUAGCUGCCGGAAGCAAAGAAUCAGCGUUGCAUCUUGUGUGCCAUCUGGCCUGGCAUCUGAUGUAGGUGCUCCAGGUGGAUCUGCUGGACCACGGACCAGAGGCUGGUUCCAUUUUACAGUCUUCUGCUUUAGUCUGAAAG